rnacentral:rRNA from 1 species
UUAAUGAAUUUAAUAUUAAGUYUGAUYUGBUCAAUGAGAAAUUAAAUAGCUGCAGAAAAUUGACUGUGCAAAGGUAGCAAAAUCAAUAGUUUUUUAAUUAAAAGCUGGUAUGAAGGAUUUGAUGAGGUAAGUUUUGUCUCAAUUUUAAUAGUUUUAGAAUUUUUUUUUUAGUUAAAAGACUAAAUUGAAUUUAAAAGACGAGAAGACCCUAUAGAAUUUAAUUUUUUUUUAUUAAUAAAUAUUUAAAUUAAUAAAUAAUUUUUAAUAAAAAAAAAUUUGGUUGGGGAAAUUAUUAAAUUAAUUAAAUUUUAAUGAUUAAUAAACAAUAAUUAUUGAAUAAUUGAUCUUUAAAUAAAAAUCAUAAGAAUAAAUUACCUUAGGGAUAACAGCGUAAUUUUUUUGGAGAGACCAUAUUGAUAAAAAAGUUUGCGACCUCGAUGUUGAAUUAAGAUUAAAUUUUAAUGAAGGAGUUAAAAAUUUUUGGUCUGUUCGACCAUUAAUAUCUUACGUGAUC